GCCUCUAUGGCGUAGUGGUAGCGCGUCGCACUUGUAUCUCUCAGUCGAGAUAGUUAUGCGAAGGUCUCUAGUUCAACCCUGGAUGGAGGCA